UGUAUUUCUUUUUUAGUUAAUGGAUAUAUAAAGGGAAAAAAUAUGGUAUUUCCUAAUAUUGUAGUUUUGACACCUUCAUCAUUUACUUGAAAAGGAUAGAGUAAGGUAAUAAAAGGAGUUCCUAAUAUUAAAGGUUCACUCAUAUUUUGUACUAAUAUAAAUUGAGUUCUAAAACAAUAAUUAUCUUGACAUAUAUGAACAUUUUGAAGUUUAUAUUCUAUUUCUAAUUUUCCUUUAUUUGCAGCAAAAAGUUCUUGUCCUGUUUUUUCAUAAUAUUUAGUAGGAAUUAUUCCUUCUUGAAUACAAUUCAUAUCAGCUCCUGAGUCUAUUAGUGCUACUAUUUCUAUUUCAAAAUCUUCAACUAUAAGUUUUACAUUUGUAUACCAUAUUUGAAAAUCUAUUUUUGAUAUUGUAUUUAUAAAUGAUUCUAUAGGAGUUAUUUUAUUAGGUAUUAUUAUUCCUGGUUCUUGGUUUUCAGAAGUUUCAUCUAAAUCUUGUUUAUAUUGUAUUACGUUUCUAAUUUGUUCAUUCUCUUGUUUUAUUUGAUCAUUUUCUUGUUUUAUUAUUUCAUUUUCUAAUUUUAUUUUUUCAUUAUCUAAUUUUAAUUGAUUUAUUUGACUUUUUAUUUCUUUUAUUUCUUCUUCUAAGUCUUUAAUGGUUAUUGGCCUUUGAGUCUUUUUGAAUCUAUUAUAAAUUUCAUCCAUUGAGUAUUGAUUAGGUUUGAUGUCUUGAGUUUUAUUUGGAUUUUCAGUGAGAAUUAAAUUUUUAAAAUUUUUUAAAUAAUUUCUUUGUAUUUCUUCAUCUUGAAUUUUGUCUAUAACAUCAAAAAAUAUUUGCUUAUCUACUUUUGAAGAUAUUACAUUUAUCUUUUUGAUUUGAUUUUCUACUUUUGAUGUUUCAUUAAUUUCUCUUGGAUUUUCUAUUUUUGUUGUUGUUGAUGUUUCUAUUAAUGUUUUUGUUUUUGUUUUUGUUUUUGUUUCCUCCACCUCUCCCGGGGCAGAAGAAAACAAAAUUUGAUUAAAUUUUGUUUCACUUGAUUCUUGUUUUGAUUCUAUUUUUGUUUCCUCCACCUCUCCCGAGGCAGAAGAAAACAAAAUUUGAUUAAAUUUUGUUUCACUUGAUUCUUGUUUUGAUUCUUUACUUGACUCUUCUGGAUUUAUUUUUUGUUGUUCUAACAAUUUUUUAUUAUGUGGAGAAUUUUCUAUUGCUUUUCUUGAAGUUAAUGUUGCAAUUCUUUUAAGGGGUUUCCUAUAUUUAAAAAACCAAAGGAAAAAAGUAAUAGUCAUCUUAACUUGUUGCAUAUAUUUUUCAUAUUGUUUUCUUAAUGCAUUUCUAACUUGAGGAGGAAGUUGUUGAAAAUAAUUUCUUUUUGCAGUAUUUUCAGGAGAAAAAUAAUUUGCUUUAAUUAACUCUACUUCAGGAACAAAAGGAUUUCUUUUAAUGUAUCUUUUUCUAAUGAUAUUUAUGUUUAAAGGAGGUUUAUCAUGAGAGAAAAAUUUUAACUCAGACUCUUCUUCAAAAAGAGAAAUUUCAGGAACAAAGUUUGAACUAUUUUUUAGUUGAUUUUCUAUUUGAUCUAAUUCUUCAUUAAAUUUUGAAUUAUUAAAUUUUAUAUGAUGACUCCAUGAUGAUGCAGCUAAUGAUGCAGCAGGUAGUGAUGCAGAUGAUGAUGCAUUUGAACAUCUCAUUAUCUUAUAUGAAAAACUUUCUAAAUUAUAUGCAGAAUUAUUUAAUGCAGAUGCAGAACUAUCAUGGGACCUAAGAGAUCUGGAAGAACUAUUUCUACUUAAUUCCCUAAUAAUAUUACUCAUUGUCACAGAAAAUAAUUACAAUUUUAUCCUUAAUCAAUUCAGAUAAUUUCCUGAGCAGGGACCACCACAAGCAAAUCAACACGGGACAUACGCUCCUUCUGCCAUUAAACACCGCUUAUCAUAGGCUGACCAAUCCGUUCACAGGAAAUUCAACCCGAACUAAGUCAGGACUAAAUCUGCGAUUAGUUACUGUUCCAACUCGUAACACCACUCGGUUCUCAAGCAAAAAAUGGCUCUGAUACCAUUUGCACCCAGGACAUACAAUAGUUCGUGCACGCAAUAAUUAAUUCUGUCUAAUUAUCUCCAAGCAUAAAAACUGAAAUAUUUAAUGUCUAAUUCUUGCUAAUUUAUUGCAGAAAAUUUAAGCAUAAUAACACAAAUAUUUGAAUCUGAAAAUAUUGUUUAUUGAAAAUAUACCUUGAUUACAGAGAGUUGAUGACUACAGGUUGUUGACAGCAGAGGAAUGACUCUAACUCAAAGAAGAAAAUUACAAGGAAAAUUUUUGAACUCUCAGAAAUUUUGAACUCUCUAAUUUUUUCUACUCUUGAAACUAUCUCUCUUGAAACCUUCCCAAGCUGUCUCUUAGCUGUUGGAGCUCUGCCUGAUGAAGCCAUUUGCAGUUCUAUUUAUAGGAGAGGAUUCGGACUUCAAAUGAAUCUUCAAUCUUGAAAGUUUUUGAAUUCUAUCAUAUGUAGGCCAGGUGGAGCAUUCUGCAGAAGAAAGAGUGAGAGAAGAAAGAGAAGAUAUAUUCUCUUUUUUCCCAAGGUUUCCACGUUGCCUUCUCAUGUUAAAGUGGGAGACAAAUCCCACUAUUCACGUCCUUGCAUUAUUCAUGACUUAAAAAUGUUUUUUUUUUUUUUUUUACUGGAUAGAUACAAAGAGAAGAUUAUACAGAUGUACAAAAGAUUUUUGAAAUCUUUUAUGUAGACUGACCCAUAGGUCCUCCGUAAAGGAUAAACUCAGGGUCUACGUAUGAAUCAUCUGAUAAAAUUGCAUCCUCAGUUUCUUCAUUUUCUUGAUCUCCAAACUGCUUGAGGGUUUGAAUGAGUCCUUGACGAUAUUGGUCUAAAUCAGUGGCUGCUGCUAAUGAAGCUUGACAUUUGCUUUUCAAAGUUAGGAAUUCUUCUUGAGUUGGUCCUUGAGAAGAUCUUGAUGAAUCCUUUGAAUUUGACGAUCCAGGUCUUGUUGAAAUUAAUUGCAAAACCUUCUGUUGACAUACAAAAUCAUGAUUGAAUUUGUCCCACCAUUUGAUGCUGAAUUCUCUAGAAAGAGAUAAUGGAAAAGGAAGAGGUUGCUCUUGCUUCUUGAUGAUGUUCCAUGUGAGAAUCCAUGGAAUUCUUAAUUUCGAACAGAACGUCAGGAGUCUAGGCUGAGUGAUAUUCUGUGAUGAAGUCUUGCUCUUGUAGAAGUUGAAUUUCUCUUGAAUAUCCAUAGGAAAUAUUGAAUCUAGUAGACCAAAGAAAGUCCACCAUUUUUUAAACCGAGCAGGAAAUUUGGUAUUGCAAUUUCUUGAAAAUUGGAUGAACCAAGAAUGCUGGUAGCUUUGCAAGUAAAACAUAUUGUACCAAGCAUCCAUGUAAUCUAUGUAAUUGUAGCUCAUGGGAUGGAAAGGUUGACUAAAAGCCUUGCAAGUGAAGGGUUUUUUAUUCCAGUCUGCAAUGGUCAUGACUCUGAGAAUUUGACAUUUGGAAAAAGCAAUCCUCUGAGGAUUGUUUUUGUCAGUGUUAUGAGUAAUUUCAACUGAAUCAGUGUCCACCAAGAUGAACUCAUAGAAUUGACGAGUUUUCAAAGGAUCAUUUGAAUUGAAGUUGACUCCUUGAGGAAAGAUGUAAGGAAGAAUUUUAGGAAUCUCUUCAAAAAUGAACUCUGGCUCAAUGAAAGCAAUUUCUAAGGUUUUGGGUUUUUUGACAUAUUGACUAUAAGAAUAUGAAGGAGAAGGAGACUGAGAAGGAGAAGGUAAUGUUGAAAUAGUGUUAGGACUGGAUUGUUUCUGAACAACAAUAUUUUUAGGAGUUGAUUUAGAAGCUUGAAUAAAACUUUUUGAAGGUUGAAGAGGAGGAAAAUCUGGACUCAAAACUUGAAAGGAAUUUGAUGUUUGCAAAGGAAAAGUAGGACGAACAUUUGAAAAGUUUGAAAUCAUAGCAUAUGAAGCUUUGGUUUUCUUGGAUGAUGAAGGAAGUUGAGGCCUAACGGGAAUACCCAUUAGGAUGGAAAGGAUCCUUACCCUGCAAAAACUCCCGAGUAAGGAAGUUAGGAAGGGAAUUCAACUCUCCUUUGAUAAAUUCGAUUUCAAAAUCAAAGUUCGAAAUUAAAGCUUGCCAUCUUGCGAAAAUUUGUUUUGAAACCAAAUUUUUAACAUCUUUUUGUAAAAUAUCUUUUGCAGCUUUGCAAUUGAUUUUCAAAAGAAAUUUCUUGUUUAUCAAAUCACUUUGAAAUUUUGAAAUACACAAAACUAUUGAUAAAACUUCUUUUUUGACAGUUGAAUAAUUUAUUUGAGCGCCCAACCAGAUCCCUGAAUGAUAUCUAACUAUAUGCACUUGAUUAUUAUAUUCUUGCUUUAAUAUGCCUCCAUAACCUAAAUUAGAUGCAUCUGAUUCUACAAUGAGCAAUGCAUUUGGAUGAGGGAUGCUGAUGCAUGGUAAACGUUUGACUCUUUGUUUAAUUUCUUUGACCAAACUAGUAUGAUGCUCAGUCCAUGCAGGUGCAUUUUUUCUCAGUCUUUUGUAUAAUGGUUCACAAAUGAUUCUCAAAUCUUUGAAGUAAUUAGAAACAUAAUUUAAACAACCUAAAAAUCUUUGCAAUUGUUUUUUUAUCUUUUAUUUCAUCAGGAAAUUUGUCAGCAAAUUCUAUUGAUCUUUGAAUCGGUUUUGUUUUUCCUUGAAAAAUUUCAUGACCUAAAAAUCUGAUUUUUGUUUGAAACAAUUUCAUUUUUGGGGCAGAACAAGCCAUUCCAUUUGCUUUAUUGACAUUAAAAAACUUUUUCAGAUGAAUAAAAUGUUUUCCUAAUGAAUCAGAAAAUACUAAAACAUGAUCAAUAUAUACAAUGAUGAACUGAAAAUGAGGAUUAAAAAUAUCAUUCAUAAUAUUUUAAAAUUCAGAAGGGGCAUUUUUGAGACCAAAAGGCAUGACAUUCCAUUCAUAAUGACCAAAAGGGAUAGUAAAAGCAGUUUUGUACCUAUCUUUUUCUUUAAUUUGAACUUGCCAGAAUCCUGAUUUCAUAUCAAAUUUUGAAUAAAUUACAGAACUAUGAAGUCUUUUGAGUAAAUCUUGCUUAUUAGGAAUAGGGUAUCUUAUCCAUUGUAAUACUUUAUUUAAAGGUUUAUAAUUAAUGACUAAUCUAGGUGCUCCUCUUUCUAUCUCAGCAGCAUUUUGAACAUAAAAAGCGGCACAACUCCAAGGAGAUUUUGAGGGUCUGAUUAAUUUCUUCUUUAAUAAUGAAUCAAUUUCUUGUUCACAAUAUUCUAAAAGCUUUUCAUUCAUUUGAAUAGGCCUAGCCUUAGUGGGAAUUUUGGAUUCAUCAAAAUUUUGAAUGUAAGGCAAACUUAUCUCAUGUUUCUUUCUUGACCAAAAAGCAUUAGGAAGAUCAGAACAAAUUUCAUUUUGAAAAAGAUAUUGAAUCUCUUUUAUUUUCUUUUUAACUUUGUCUUCUAAAAGUUGUUCAUCUACUUUUUUAUAUUGAAUUUCUUUUGAUAGAUAAUUUAUAUGAGCUUUCUUUCUUUGAAUUAAAUUUAUAUUCUUAUUUAUUGAAUCACUUUGAACUUGAUGUAUUUCUUUUUUAGUUAAUGGAUAUAUAAAAGGAAAAAAUAUGGUAUUUCCUAAUAUUGUAGUUUUGACACCUUCAUCAUUUACUUGAAAAGGAUAGAGUAAGGUAAUAAAAGGAGUUCCUAAUAUUAAAGGUUCACUCAUAUUUUGUACUAAUAUAAAUUGAGUUCUAAAACAAUAAUUAUCUUGACAUAUAUGAACAUUUUGAAGUUUAUAUUCUAUUUCUAAUUUUCCUUUAUUUGCAGCAAAAAGUUCUUGUCCUGUUUUUUCAUAAUAUUUAGUAGGAAUUAUUCCUUCUUGAAUACAAUUCAUAUCAGCUCCUGAGUCUAUUAAUGCUACUAUUUCUAUUUCAAAAUCUUCAACUAUAAGUUUUACAUUUGUAUACC
rnacentral:lncRNA from 1 species